UACGUAGGUGGCAAGCGUUGUCCGGAUUUAUUGGGUUUAAAGGGUGCGUAGGCGGCUUUAUAAGUCAGUGCUGAAAUAUCCCGGCUUAACCGGGAGGGUGGCAUUGAUACUGCAGAGCUUGAGUGAAGUCGAGGUAGGCGGAAUUGACGGUGUAGCGAUGAAAUGCUUAGAUAUCGUCAAGAACACCGAUAGUGAAGACAGCUUACUAGGCUUCAACUGACGCUGAGGCACGAAAGUGUGGGGAUCAAACAGG
rnacentral:rRNA from 1 species